rnacentral:rRNA from 1 species
UUGUCCGGAAUCAUUGGGCGUAAAGGGUACGUAGGCGGUUAAAAAAGUUAGAAGUGAAAGGCUAUAGCUCAACUAUAGUAAGCUUUUAAAACUGUUUAACUUGAGAGAUGGAAGGGAAAGUGGAAUUCCUAGUGUAGCGGUGAAAUGCGCAGAUAUUAGGAGGAAUACCGGUGGCGAAGGCGACUUUCUGGCCAUUAUCUGACGCUGAGGUACGAAAGCGUGGGUAGCAAACAGGAUUAGAUACCCUGGUAGUCAAGGGCG